CCGCCCCUCUGGUGACGUCGUCCUCCUCCUUCCUCUCCGUCUCUCCUCCGCUGCUGCUGUUAGCACCACAGUUAGCAUUAGCACGUUAGCCUCCAGCAGCUGUCGGAGUCAGUCAGCCAGUCGAGUCAAGUCAAGUCCUGGUGCUGCAUCAUCUGUCCUCAUCCUUCCUUCCCUCCCGUCGGACGGCCGGGUUGUUGUUUCUGUAGCUGCUACCUGCUCCUCCUCCUCCUCCUCCUCGGGCUACCUGCAGUAGCAGUUGUUAGUCGUCCUCUCCGUCACGACAGGAAGAAGAAGCUCUGGGAGGACAUGGCCAGAACAGAGCAAGUCCUGGCGCUAGAGCCGCAACACGAACUCAAGUUCAGAGGUCCGUUUACAGAUGUCGUCACCGCCACUCUGAAGCUCACCAACCCAACAGAACGAAAUGUGUGUUUCAAAGUCAAGACGACCGCGCCUCGCAGAUACUGUGUGCGCCCAAACAGUGGCAUCAUUGACGCUGGAAACUCCGUCAAUGUUUCUGUUAUGCUGCAGCCGUUUGACUACGACCCCAAUGAAAAGAGUAAACACAAAUUCAUGGUGCAGUCCAUGCUGGCUCCGUACGACAUGACUGACAUGGAAGGAGUUUGGAAGGAGGCGAAGCCUGAAGAGCUGAUGGAUUCAAAGUUGAGAUGUGCAUUUGAGAUGCCUCUAGAAAAUGACAAAACUCAUGAGAGUGAAACCAAAAGUGUGUAUUACUCUGUUAAGACCGAGCUCUCCUCGCUGCCCAAGUCGGCCAGCGCCUCAAUGGACGACGGAGAGGUGAAGAAGAUCAUGGAGGAGUGCAAGCGGCUGCAGAUGGAGGUGCAGAGGCUACGGGAAGAAAACAAACAGAUCAGGGAGGACGACGGGCUGCGGAAGAGAAAGGUGACCUCAAUGGGCGCUCCUCACUCCUCUUCCUCCUCCGCCAUGGCGACCUCGGCCAUGAGGGACGAAGGCCUAAGCACCCGCAUCCUGGCGCUCUGCGUGCUCUUCUUUGUCAUUGGAGUCAUCAUUGGCAAGCUGGCCCUGUAGAGACACAGACAGACAGAGCACAGUGACAGACGGACGGACGGACGGGCGGGCGGACGGCGUGCUCGGGAGGACACGUGUCAAUGACGGCAACGGGGAUGUCUUCUGGGUUUAUGUUGGUUUCUCUUUCUUUUCUUUUUUUUUUACAUUUAAGGCAAUAUCAUGAUGGUUUGUCUGGAUGGAAAAUAAUUUAACGUGUAAAAAGAAAACGAAGGAAGGCGAUCCCAAGUUAAAACCAUGAGCGCGAGCGUUUCUGUCACAGGUCUUGCCUUUUUCUUUUCUUUUCUUUUCUGUGAAAUAAUCACCACCUCUGAUCUGUUCUUUCCGUCCAUCCCUCCUUCCUAAAUGAUCUUCCGCAACUUGCACAGGUAACAGUUAGUGGUGUGUGGAAGUGGCUUCACGCUGGCUGAAUGUCUAAAGUCUUUCAUUGAUUCUUUAUUGAUUCUACACUCACAUCGUCUAUAAGAAAGCUCUAACACUCCUCUUCUGAUAAUCUCUCUUCCACAUAUUACUGAUAAUCUGCAAGGAGAGCUGAACACAAGUGAUCAGUGAAAGACUUUUUCUUUUUCUAGAUUCAAACUCAAUGUAUCGUCUUCUAAACAAUAUGUGUUGAACAUGUGAGCCAGUAGAGGCGCGUAUGUGCGUGCGUCCUUUUGAUUUUUGCCUCCUGCAGGAGGGCUGAUGUGACUGCGUGUGGAUGUUUUUAUGUGAGGAGACCACAAACGGUGAAUUCACAGGCUGUUUUAGAACGAAGGAAGAGGGGUGGUUUGACAACAAAACUGUCAUCUGAAUAGAUUUCCUGUACACACAACAGAAAAAAAUGGGGGUCUUUGUUGAAAAUCAGAUUAAAACUUUAAUAAUUUUUGUCGCUGACCAAGGAAUCAGUAGAAUAACAAAUGUUUGGCCAUUUGUAAAAUUAUAACCCGGUAAAAUCAAGAUUACGAUAAAGAAUUUAUGCUGCAUGGUGAUCUAUUAAGAAAAAAAAAAAACAAAGCUGUAAUUUAGUUCAAGACAUUAGACUUUCCCACUUUAAUUUUCUUGAUAAUUACUUCCUCAGGUUGAGAGAGAGAGAGGCACAAAAAUGACAAAAACUUCCCCCCUUAAAGCAGCGAACAUGCAAAUACCAACUGGGUCGUUUUCAAUAUAUAACAUACAGUAUGUAACAAUAGCUUUGGCCACCUUGUUUAAUUUUGCCCAUGGAGUAUUGUAUUUGCGUCCUCUAGUGUAUUACAGCAGAUGUUUGCUCUUUUUUUUUUUCUUAUAUUAUCAUGUAGCCACGAUGCUUCUAUUGUUUAUAAUAUUCAAAUGCACUAUAUUCAAAUGUCCACUCUGCAGUCUGCAUGAAAUGACCUGGAUUUAUUAUGAUUAUUAUCAUUUCUUUUGAGUGUUGAAGUUAUAUUGGCAAAAAAAAAAUACUGUCUUCUCAAAAGGGACCAGUCUGGUUUAUCAGUGUGUGUGCGCGUGUGUGUGUGUGUGUGUGUAUGUGUGUGUGUGUGGUUGGAUAGUGAAAGAGCAAAAGUAAACAUCUAGGGUGCAGAACUGCUAAGCCCUUAUUUAGGGGGUUAUUCAGUACUGUAUUUAAACUGCCCCCUGAUGGAUUAAACUUUUUACACAUGAAGAUCUUCACAUGAAAACAGUUGUGUAAUGUCUCCUGGGGCUCUGGAGGGAGUUCAUCAUAAUCAGGGGUCCUGAGACUACAAAUUCUUAAAAUAAACUGUGUUCCAACACCCUUAGUAUUUAGUAUGCCAGAAAAAGAUUUAGUACAUCCCAAUACACAGUAUGCCAAAAACACCAGGCGGUCCGACUACACACGGUCACAUUUUGCAGUUUGCAAGCCAGCAUGCUUUUCUGACUCAUCAGACCCACAAUCCUCUGCACAGAGGAUAUACUGUAUGAGCAAGAGGGUCAAAGUUAAAGGCGCAUUGAAGACGAAGUAUGCAUACUACAUGCAACAGUAUGUAUGUUGUAAGGGCAGUUGCGGUAUGUACUAAAAGUAAAAAGAAAAAGUAUUCGAUUUGGAACGUAGCCAGAGCCUCAAAUAUAAAGUAGGGAUGAAGGGUCACAAAGAUACGGCUAUUUACCAGGUAGGGAAGGUCCAAAGAAAAGAGGACAUUAGAUUCAUUGUGGGAAUUGCAGGAUAUUUGGAGCUUGAGUCAUACUAGGAGGUACCUCUUUAAAACCUUCAAGAUAAAAACGAGAUAAAAAAAAA